UACAUAGGGUGCAAGCGUUGUUCGGAAUUACUGGGCGUAAAGCGCGCGUAGGCGGCUUGCUAAGUCAGACGUGAAAGCCCUGGGCUCAACCCGGGAAUUGCGUUUGAUACUGGCGAGCUUGAGAUUCAGAGAGGUGAGUGGAAUUCCUAGUGUAGAGGUGAAAUUCGUAGAUAUUAGGAAGAACACCAGUGGCGAAGGCGGCUCACUGGCUGAACACUGACGCUAAAGCGCGAAAGCGUGGGGAGCAAACAGG
rnacentral:rRNA from 1 species